CAAGUAUGUUAUUCGCAUUCUCUGUUACUAGAUAUAAAAAAAUAUGGCAGAAAUUAUCCUUUCAAUUAAUUUUCAACAAAUGCCAGUCAUAUUAUUAAAGUUACUCACUAUUAUCUACAUAAAAUGCAAACUCACCUUAAGUUAAUAGAUAAAUGUAUAUAAGUAAUGCAAGUACGUAUUAACGCAUUCUAAUAGGGAUUAAUUGAAUUGCCUUCACUGUUAAAUUAAUAAUGAAUAAGUUGUUGUCAAUAUACAUGUUAUAGAGUUAGUUAUGCCAAUGAGCCCUUUUCUUAUGAGUUUUAAUAAAACAUUUUUAUUUUUUGAGUUACGUCUUUAAUGGAAUUUCAUUUUGAGAGAGUAUAAAUAAAAUACUGAUAGCAGGUGGUGUGUAAUGCAAAUUCAUAAAAUAUAUGUGUAUAUUUACACUUCUGAAUAUUGUCAUGUACAAUAGUCCUGGUGCUACUGUUUUGACCAUAACAAUUUUGAAGUAAAAAAAAGGUUCAAAUGUAUAAUAUAAAGAAAUGAAUAUGCAUAAUUGAACAAACAAUCAUUUUGCUAGGACAAAAAUAACAUUGAGUGGGACUGUUUAUUGCCCACUAUUUAUAUAAUUAAGAAAUACUGAAGUCUAAGAGAAUUGAUUGCCUGAUUACAAUUUUUAAAAAAUACAUGAAAAUACAUAUUAGAUAUAUCUUAUUGACAGAAACAUUGAUAUUUAAUAAAUAUAAGUUCCUUAAUUACAAUGCAAUUGUAUAUUUCUCAUAACUUUGACUUGAAUUUCAUUUUAAAACACAAUCAAUAAGAUGCGAGACAUAUUUAAGCAAUUGGUAGUUUGGAUUUCUAUAUAA
rnacentral:lncRNA from 1 species